GAGCAAGCAAUACUCAACGUAGCAAACAAAUAAGUGCACAAACAAUAGAAAAAAGAAAACGAUACCGAUCUACCUAGUUUACACACAAUAGAAGUAGGACCAACAAUAGAACAGAAAAGCUACUGUACCUAGCAGACAGAUUGGUGUGGUACCAAUCAAUAAAACAGAAAAGCUACUGUAUUUAGCAGACAAAUCCGCGAAGUACCAACAAUAGAACAGAGAACAAUUCUGUACCUAGCCA
rnacentral:lncRNA from 1 species